AGCUCUUUGGCUCCCACACAUGCAAAAGUUUGAAUUUCCUGUUGGCUCUGAGGAUUUCGAGGCUUCUUGAUGAACACAGAAACCAUAGCCCCUUGGAGAAGCUCUGCUGAGGAGAUCUUUCUAGCCUUUGUCUGCUCUCCCCUUGCAGCUGGUCUGCUCUCUGCGGAUCAUAGGGAGUCAACUUUUCCAUGUGUUUGCAUUGCAAGUGACAUCUGGCUGACAGGAACUUGGAGAAAUGGAAUCCGAAGUGAAUGCUGCAGUUACCACAAGCCUCAUAUUUAUCAAAAGAUACAGAAACAGAGAUGGAAACAUGGAGACCGUUGUAAAAUCUUCAAUAAAUACAGGAGGCCCUUGUUCAUUUCCUGAAAUGCAAAAUUUCAAUAAACUAGAAAAAUGGGAAACAUUAGCCUGAUCUCCUCAAGAAAAAUGCUAUGUAUAUUUAUUUACAAUAGUU
ensembl:lincRNA Gm33651 predicted gene, 33651